rnacentral:rRNA from 1 species
AACUCCUACGGGACGCAGCAGUGGGGAAUAUUGCACAAUGGGCGAAAGCCUGAUGCAGCAACGCCGCGUGAAGGAAGACGGUUUUCGGAUUGUAAACUUCUAUCAAUAGGGAAGAAAGAAAUGACGGUACCUAAAUAAGAAGCCCCGGCUAACUACGUGCCAGCAGCCGCGGUAAUACGUAGGGGGCAAGCGUUAUCCGGAUUUACUGGGUGUAAAGGGAGCGUAGGUGGCAGGGCAAGUCAGAUGUGAAAACCCGGGGCUCAACUCCGGGAGUGCAUUUGAAACUGUCCAGCUAGAGUGCAGGA